rnacentral:rRNA from 1 species
UACGAAAAAAGCUAGCGUUGUUCGGAAUUACUGAGCAUAAAGCGCGUGUAGACGGAUUUUUAAGUCAAAGAUGAAAUCCCAGAGCUCAACUCUGGAACUGCCUUCGAUACUGGGAAUCUGGAGCAAAAUAGAGGCGGAUGGAAUUGCGAGUGUAGAGGUGAAAUUCGUAGAUAUUCGCAGGAACACCAAUGACGAAGGCGACUCGCUGGAUCUUUGCUGACGCUGAGACGCGAAAGCGUAAGUAGCAAACAGG